GACAGAGGGUGCAAACGUUGUUCGGAAUUACUGGGCGUAAAGCGUGCGCAGGCGGUUCGUUGUGUCGGCGGUGAAAGCCCCGGGCUCAACCUGGGAAUGGCCGUUGAAACUGGCGAACUGGAGUGUGGCAGAGGGGGGUGGAAUUCCGCGUGUAGCAGUGAAAUGCGUAGAGAUGCGGAGGAACACCGAUGGCGAAGGCAGCCCCCUGGGCUGACACUGACGCUCAGGCACGAAAGCGUGGGGAGCAAACAGG
rnacentral:rRNA from 1 species